UACUUGGGNNNUAAAAGAGCAUGCNGGUGGUUUUGUUUAAGUCAAGAUGGUGAAAAGCCCGGGAGNCUANNCCUCGAGAAAUUGCAUUUGAAACUUGGCAAACUAGAGUACUGUAGAGGGGGGUAGAAUUUUCAGGGUGUAGCGGGUGAAAUGCGUAGAGAUCUGAAGGAAUACCCGGUGGCGAAGGCGGCCCCCUGGACAGAUACUGACACUCAGAUGCGAAAAGCGUGGGGAGCAAACAGGAUUAGAUACCCUGGUAGUCCACGCCGUAAAAUGAUGUCUACUUGGAGGUUGUGGCCUUGAGCCGUGGCUUUCGGAGCUAACGCGUUAAGUAGACCGCCUGGGGAGUACGGUCGCAAGAUUAAAACUCAAAUGAAUUGACGGGGGCCCGCACAAGCGGUGGAGCAUGUGGUUUAAUUCGAUGCAACGCGAAGAACCUUACCUACUCUUGACAUCUACAGAAGCCAGCGGAGACGCAGGUGUGCCUUCGGGAACUGUAAGACAGGUGCUGCAUGGCUGUCGUCAGCUCGUGUUGUGAAAUGUUGGGUUAAGUCCCGCAACGAGCGCAACCCUUAUCCUUGUUUGCCAGCACUUCGGGUGGGAACUCCAGGGAGACUGCCGGUGAUAAACCGGAGGAAGGUGGGGACGACGUCAAGUCAUCAUGGCCCUUACGAGUAGGGCUACACACGUGCUACAAUGGCGCAUACAGAGGGCGGCCAACUUGCGAAAGUGAGCGAAUCCCAAAAAGUGCGUCGUAGUCCGGAUUGGAGUCUGCAACUCGACUCCAUGAAGUCGGAAUCGCUAGUAAUCGUGGAUCAGAAUGCCACGGUGAAUACGUUCCCGGGCCUUGUACACACCGCCCGUCACACCAUGGGAGUGGGCUGCAAAAGAAGUGGGUAGUUUAACCUUCGGGAGGACGCUCACCACUUUGUGGUUCAUGACUGGGGUGAAGUCGUAACAAGGUAACCG
rnacentral:rRNA from 1 species